CCCUAUGUGGUUAUAUAGGAAGCUCAAGUUGAGCCUUUGGUAAAAAAUAAAGAGAAGUUAAAAAUGAAAGAAGUUAAGCAUGUUAUGAUGAUUUUGUUUCAGUUGAAUUAGUUGAGGAUGAUGGUCUAUGUUUUGAAGAGAGAAUAACAUAGUAGAGGGUAAGGUAGUAAUCAAAAAGAGACCUAGCAAAAGAGAGAAGAGAAAAGGAAAUGGGGAAUCAUGUAUGGAAGGUUGCAACCAUUUGUUGAUGCUCUGUGGUUUGAAGAGAGAAGAAAAGAAAAGAGGGUAGCGGGGGGGGGUCAGAGAGAGACCGAGUGAAAGAGAGGAUGUGAAAGAGAGGAUAAAUGGGGCAAUAGGGAAGAUGACUUGGAUUUUAUUUGAGGGCAUUUAAGUCUUUUUCAAAUGGAGAGAGAAAAAGAGAUUUUUCUUAACAAAUGCCAUACGGAGGAGAGGUGAAAUGAGAGAGACGACUUGGUACCACAGUGAAAGUGACACGUAACUAGAAAACUAGUUAUUUUAUGUCAAAAGGACUUUUUUGUUCACUAAAUUAAUAUUGAGGGUUUUUA
rnacentral:misc_RNA from 1 species